CUCUUAGAUGUUCUGGGCCGCACGCGUGCUACACUGAGUGGAUCAGCGGGUCAGGUUGCGCGAAAGUGUUUCCUAAUCUUGAAAUCCGCUCGUGAUGGGGAUUGACGGUUGCAAUUUUCUGUCAUGAACGAGGAAUACCUUGUAAGCGCGGGUCAUCAUCCCGCGCUGAAUACGUCCCUGCCCUUUGUACACACCGCCCGUCGCUCCUACCGAUUGAGUGGUCCGGUGAGGCUUUGGGAUCUGGAUGGAAAGAGCGUUUCGCUGUUUCUGCCCGGAAAACUCAGUCGAACCUUAUCAUUUAGAGGAAGGAGAAGUCGUAACA
rnacentral:rRNA from 1 species